UAAAUGAAUGGGUAAGAAGGAAAUAAAGUAUUAUUAUGGAAUGGAAAGGGUGGCCAACAAAACAAUGACGGCAAUGGGAAUCGUGCUUGGCUUAUUUUCAAUCUUUGAUUUUGAGUGCACAUGCAGCCAUGUGAACUCAUCUUUUCUGGACCUAAUCCUAUAGUUUUAUCAAUCAAAAGCGUAAUCUCUUCACCACCUCAAAUAACCAAAAUAUUUUGUUAGCUAUUUUAACCUCGCUAAGCAACAACAAGAAUGAAGGAGAAGAGGGGAGCAAACAGAUGCCGCCAUCGUCUGGAGAUUUUCCACAUCUCAUUUGAGCAACAUCGUGUAGUUAACAUUCUGACCCACAACUCGUGUGAGCACUAUUGAAAGGGAAAGGUUACGGUUAUAUGGAAAGGCACACUAUGUGUGAGCAUUCCACAGCAUCCAAUGUAAUUCUAGAUGGUUCAACGAGUAAGUAAAGGUUAAAGGCAAGAUUAUCGGAAGCUUGAUUGAUUAGAGGCCUGUCGGAGAUCUAUCAUACUAUCCAACAACCUUUUCGGUAGUUUUUGAGUUAUUUUGGCCAGGUUAUAAAUGGCAUGUAUAGGGCUUUGUUUAUUGAUAGUUCAUGAAUGUGUUAAUGAUCAUUGUGGUACAAAAAUGCUUUUGGGGUUUAAGUCUUGUUUGAUGGACUUUUAAUGCUUUGAUAAGUUUAAGUCUUUUGGUCACUUUUAGGUAUUUAGAAUAUAUGAUCCUUUUUGGUAUGUUUGUGAUGAUAUGUAAAUGAUUAUAUGUAAUGUUAUUUGGUAGUUAAAGGAAAUAGUUUUUAUGCUUGAAA